GGGUCUUGACAUAGUGGUUUGAGCAUUGGACUACAACUCUGGAGACCAGGGUUCGAUUCCCUGCUGAGCUA